UUUAUUUUCCUUCUUGUUAGCUCAUUUGGAAAGCGUGGAACAAGUUUAUCUUUGAUCUUGUGAAGCCAAAAGCUGGCCCUAUUUUGGAGGAGGUAAAAGCAUUGGGAUUCCUUUGUCUUAAACAUCGGGCAAACUUGGUGAGUUUGGAUGAAAAUUCUUGGGAAACACCAUCGAGCUUUAAUGGUUUGGGUUUCUCGGCUGCAAAAAAGAUCAUUUAAGCAAUUUAUUUGCUAAUGAUGUGGUGUCUUUGGAAAUUGAGAAAUGGUAAACUGUUUGGGCGCAGGAUUAUAACUACCUACAAACUGGUUGAGGAAGUAAAAGAGAGCAUUUGAUUAUGUGAAACAUAGAUGGAAAAGAUCUGGUGUAGAAUGGAAAGAAAGGAGAAGCUUUAGAAUAGAGGAGUUGUCUUUUGUAAUUUUCUUUUUGUUGUAUUUUGUGUACUGUAUGUCUAUCUUAGUCCAUCUGUAGUCGGGCUUGAUGUAGCACCCCCCACCACAAAAUUCCCUAUGGCGCCUUCGUACACCGCCCCUAGGGGCGCUAUGCCCCUCCCACCGUGAGCUCCGGUGAAAAUUAUAACGGGAGAAAAUUUCGAUUUUCAAAAAAUUUGACCGUUGAACGGUCAUAAAUGAUAUAUAUAUAUUUUUUAAAUCUGUAU
rnacentral:lncRNA from 1 species